GUAUCUAAAAAAAAAUUGUUUUAAUUGCAGGAUGCACCAUAAUGUAAAAUAUGUCAGAUAAUGCUGGUCCUGAAUUCAUCUUUAUUCAAUUUAAAAAAUAUUACAUAUUGACAUUGCUUGUUUAGAGUAAUACCGUUAUCUAUAAUGUGUUACACGAAUUAUUUAUGUUAAAAAAUUUAUCAUGAAUCAAUAGUUUUAACACUUUUCAAAUGUAAACAAUUUCAAGCAAUUAAACUUCCAUUCAAAUGUAAUUACACUUGUAAUUAUAAAAAAUG